UACGUAGGUGGCAAGCGUUGUCCGGAAUUAUUGGGCGUAAAGCGCGCGCAGGCGGUCCUUUAAGUCUGAUGUGAAAGCCCACGGCUCAACCGUGGAGGGUCAUUGGAAACUGGGGGACUUGAGUACAGAAGAGAAGAGUGGAAUUCCACGUGUAGCGGUGAAAUGCGUAGAGAUGUGGAGGAACACCAGUGGCGAAAGCGGCUCUCUGGUCCAAAACUGACGCUGAGGGGCGAAAGCGUGGGGAGCGAACAGG
rnacentral:rRNA from 1 species